rnacentral:lncRNA from 1 species
UCCAAUUUAAGACCAGAUGCAAGUUUUAAAUGUACAUUGUAUAUCAAUAUUUUAAUGUGAUGAACUGAAUGUCUAAACAAAUACAAUAUUCUAGUGAUAAUUAUUCAUCCUAUAAUACUACAUACACCUUUAACAAUCCAUGCAUUACAAUUCUAGUAUAACUUGUGCACGAACGAAAUGACUCCUUGGUACUCCGACCAUACACCGGUUGCUCAAGCCUCUUCUUAAAUCGCUAAAAGCACCUCACUUUCAAGUCACCAACACUAAUAGCAGUGAGGCUAAGGUCAUACUCAGCAAUUGGAAACUGGAUAAUGAGAUGACGGCCUUAGAUUCUACAAUUAGCGGCUGCAAAUAAAAAAAGGAGGAGGAAAAAAGACUGCUGUUAUAAAACGAGGCAUGCUAUAUUGUAUCAUAACAUAAAGCAGACUAACAUCUUGACCAAAAAUGGAUGACAACCACUGAUACCGGCAGGUUAGACGCUUUAUAUCUUCAACUGACGUCUUAUAUUUAUUUCAAUAAUCUCACCCAAUUACAAAAGGUAAAUGUUGAACAUUUCCCAAAUUCCUAAAGGAAUCAUUUCCUUUCUAUUGUUCUUCUCCUUGCAUGCCAACAGGGAAA